ACCAAUAGCAGCAAUAGCACUAUAAUAUGGCGUCAGAUUUGGCGGGAUACCGCUAGUGUCACUUCCGCUUCCGUCACUUCUGGUUAUUCUGUGCAGUCUGAAAGUGAAAAAAAUGAAAGUGUAUGUCAAUUACGAAGUGAUAUUUAAUAUGUUUAAACAUAAAAUCCCCAUUACGGCUGCAAUAUGUGAUCUUGGAACUGUAAAUGUAAAAGCUUUUAAAGACCUAGGAUCAAGAAUUUCGACUCCAUUUUCAAUUUAUGAAGGGAAGACUAUUCACAGUAUCUUUGAUAUACCGCAGCACACGAAAUUUAUUCAAAAAAUACAAUGUACAGUUACCAUCAUUACAAGUACUCCCCUCAAUGUUAUCAGAUGAAGAAGGUUUGCAAGCUAGAUAGUCUGAUAUCCAAAAAGCGUACGAAGUAGACACUGAUACACCUCUAGUUUUUUGAAGCCUUUACAAAUUAAAAGAUUAUUACUUUUCAUCUUUACAGCACAAUGCUAUGGAAGUUAAAAUUGCAGCAUAGACACUCAACAGAAACAGUUCAAUAUAUAUUUACCAGUUAAUAAAAGCAAAAAGACAUACUUCCAGCAUGAGCAAUGGCAACUGUUGUAGAUAUAGACAACAAUAUAAACACUUAAGUUAGAGACAUUGACAUAAGUAUGUUAAGGGAGUUUUAGAGGUUAUGUUAUAAAAUAAAUGGUCAAAAUGA